UGGGAGAUUGAUACACAGAUGGAGAGAGAACCUGCUCUUUUUGUCACAAAAUCUCCCUAAAAUAAUAUUGCCUUUUGAUGACCGUAAUGAGUUGAGAGAAAUCGUUACGGACAGAUACGGGGCAGACAUCU